ACGAACGCUGGCGGCGUGCUUAACACAUGCAAGUCGAGCGGUAAGGCCCUUUCGGGGGUACACGAGCGGCGAACGGGUGAGUAACACGUGAGCAAUCUGCCCUUCACACAGGGAUAACUUCGGGAAACCGAAGCUAAUACCUGAUACGACCACUUCAGGCAUCUGAUGGUGGUGGAAAGUUCUGGCGGUGGAGGAUGAGCUCGCGGCCUAUCAGCUUGUUGGUGGGGUAAUGGCCUACCAAGGCAACGACGGGUAGCCGGCCUGAGAGGGUGACCGGCCACACUGGGACUGAGACACGGCCCAGACUCCUACGGGAGGCAGCAGUGGGGAAUAUUGGACAAUGGGCGAAAGCCUGAUCCAGCAACGCCGCGUGAGGGAUGAAUGCCUUCGGGUUGUAAACCUCUUUCAGCAGGGACGAAGCGCAAGUGACGGUACCUGCAGAAGAAGCACCGGCCAUCUACGU
rnacentral:rRNA from 1 species